rnacentral:rRNA from 1 species
AGCGAACGCUGGCGGCAGGCCUAACACAUGCAAGUCGAACGGACCCUUCGGGGUUAGUGGCGGACGGGUGAGUAACACGUGGGAACGUGCCUUUAGGUUCGGAAUAGCUCCUGGAAAAGGGUGGUAAUGCCGAAUGUGCCCUUCGGGGGAAAGAUUUAUCGCCUUUAGAGCGGCCCGCGUCUGAUUAGCUAGUUGGUGAGGUAAAGGCUCACCAAGGCGACGAUCAGUAGCUGGUCUGCGAGGAUGACCAGCCACAUUUGGACUGAGACACGGCCCAAACUCCUACGGGAGGCAGCAGUGGGGAAUCUUGCGCAAUGGGCGAAAGCCUGACGCAGCCAUGCCGCGUGAAUGAUGAAGGUCUUAGGAUUGUAAAAUUCUUUCACCGGGGACGAUAAUGACGGUACCCGGAGAAGAAGCCCCGGCUAACUUCGUGCCAGCAGCCGCAGUAAAAC